AUGUAUGUGUGUGUGUUUCUACUAAAAUGUGUCCUCUGCUGGCAUGUAGUGACUGCCACAAGAUGGAUUCUGACAGAGGCGAUCUUAUUAGUGGGUAACUACUGUGUACGCUCAACAGUCUACAGGUUGCCACACAAAUGUAUAGGAUUUAAGGACUAUACAGAUGGAUUACUGUGAGGUUUAGAGCUGUGAAAAAAGACUGGCAAGAGAAAGAUGGAAAGAUUUGGGAAGUGUCGGGAUAGUGAAGAACUGUCUACCAGUAGGGGGGAAAAACAGCAAAGAGGUAGAAGGAUGUUAUAUGGAGAAGAAACUAUAUUCAUACUACUUUUUUUGAAUCUCUUAUGGUACAUUUGUCACUCACAAAACAGCAACAAUACUUCAUAGAAUGCUUUUCAUGGGGAAAGCUUGAAAGACUGUCUAGAAGAGGUCUAUCUCCAGCGUGCAGCAAGAAGCACCAGGAAGGGAAGUUGCGGAUAAUCACCACCGGGGCUGUGGCAGAAUGAGAAACAAUGUCCUGCGUUCCUGAGUCUCUGCCCAAGCUAAGGGAACUUUUUUCAGAAGCUGGGGUAUUUCUACAGAUGUUUUCAAUAUUAUUCAGAAUAUGCUUUGAAUAAUAACAUCAGUUCCUUUUCUUUUUGAUUACAAACACACAUACGUUGGAAGUUUAGUGCAACACUUGACCGAGUCUAUCCCAUCUUCUAAAUGCUAAGUGUUAACUAUACCUUGGAAAUCUACUAACACAAAGUCUAAUUCUAAUAUCACAUGAAAUGGCAGAUUGGACCAUACUGAUUGUCUCAUUAGCUUGGUAUUUCAGGGUCUGAGAGUAGGAAGUUCUAGAAGUUUCGUAUGAAUGUUGAAGACAAUGUUAAGGGGCUUUAUAAAAUUGGCAAUGGGCAAACAUUAACGUAGCGAUAUCAGGCAUACUGGUAAAUAUGUGCACUGUGCUUUCUGUUCUUUUUGUUUGGUUGGUUGGUUUUCUUCUGUUUUGUUGUUAUUUGUUUUGUUUUGUUUUGUUUUCCCAACACGCUUACAAAACGGGGUUUGUGUCUUCCUUUGAGUGCCUAGUUCAUGAUGAGCCUGUACUUUGUGGAUGAAGAUGAGGGGGGGUCAGAUCCUUCUGGUGCUGAGUGCUUAUUCCUGCACUUAAUCGUUCCCAUUCUGUUCUGUUCAUGAAGUGCAGCAUAUUGAGGCUUUGUGAAUUUUCUAAUAAAACACUUCAUCAACUGGGCCAAAUUUAUCUCUAGCUUCACAAAUGGAAGCCAGGAGAACCCUAUGCCUGUCUUUGAAUUUGGACCUACAAAUGCAGUUUGCCAUAUGAGUCAUCAUAUUUUCUUGUACUAAUUUCAGAUAUUUGAUAAGCUCUUUUUCUGGUUUACAAGUUUAAAAAGACAAAUAAAACUUUGUAGAUUAAAAUGUUGUUUUGGAGCUUGCGUUCUGUCUGUUCUCACUGGAGUUCUGUGAAAGGCCUUUUUCUGUGGGCUUUAGCUUAAACCUGCAAAGUGACUUUGGAGUGGGUGUUUAUAGUAUUUCGCUUGCUUGUUCACAGGAUAAGACUGUUGAUAGAUGAAUAAAGUGCCACUUGAGGUUGUUAACAACCAGGACUGGUAAUGCUAGUUCAGCUAAGAUAAACAGUGAAAUGCCAUGGCAAUUAGCAUUAAGGUCUCACUUGGCCAGUGCUGAUUUUUAAAGCCGCAGAUACGGUGCUUUAUGGACACCCGUGGCCAUGGGGGCUGGAGCUAUUUAUUCCAUCCUUGCUCUGAGUGCUAUAUGGACUCCUGUGCAGUGCAUGCCCAGGGCAUUCCUGUGCACUCAGUGUGCCAGUAGGAAGCAGGAGUACGAAUACUGUAAUGUUCCAGUCUGCAGCAAUUAACCCCCUCACCCUGCAAGGAGUGGAGGGGAGGAAAAGCUCAAUUAAAGAGACUUGGAG
rnacentral:lncRNA from 1 species